GUCUUUAUAGCUUAAAAUAAAAGCCCUGGUCUUGUAAACCAAAGACGGGUGUUACUACCCUAAAGAUA
rnacentral:tRNA from 1 species